AUUGAACGCUGGCGGCAGGCCUAACACAUGCAAGUCGAGCGGGGUUUUCGGACCUAGCGGCGGACGGGUGAGUAAUGCGUAGGAAGCUACCCGAUAGAGGGGGAUACCAGUUGGAAACGACUGUUAAUACCGCAUAAUGUCUACGGACCAAAGUGUGGGACCUUCGGGCCACAUGCUAUCGGAUGCGCCUACGUGGGAUUAGCUAGUUGGUGGGGUAAUGGCUCACCAAGGCGACGAUCCCUAGCUGGUUUGAGAGGAUGAUCAGCCACACUGAAACUGAGACACGGUCCAGACUCCUACGGGAGGCAGCAGUGGGGAAUAUUGGACAAUGGGCGCAAGCCUGAUCCAGCCAUGCCGCGUGUGUGAAGAAGGCCUUCGGGUUGUAAAGCACUUUCAGUUGGGAGGAAGAGUUGAGUGUUAAUAGUACUCAGCUUUGACGUUACCUACAGAAGAAGCACCGGCUAACUCUGUGCCAGCCGCCGCGGUAACAC
rnacentral:rRNA from 1 species